rnacentral:rRNA from 1 species
GACGAACGCUGGCGGCGUGCCUAAUACAUGCAAGUUGAGCGCUGAAGGUUGGUACUUGUACCAACUGGAUGAGCAGCGAACGGGUGAGUAACGCGUGGGGAAUCUGCCUUUGAGCGGGGGACAACAUUUGGAAACGAAUGCUAAUACCGCAUAAAAACUUUAAACACAAGUUUUAAGUUUGAAAGAUGCAAUUGCAUCACUCAAAGAUGAUCCCGCGUUGUAUUAGCUAGUUGGUGAGGUAAAGGCUCACCAAGGCGAUGAUACAUAGCCGACCUGAGAGGGUGGUCGGCCACAUUGGGACUGAGACACGGCCCAAACUCCUACGGGAGGCAGCAGUAGGGAAUCUUCGGCAAUGGACGAAAGUCUGACCGAGCAACGCCGCGUGAGUGAAGAAGGGUUUCGGAUCGUAAAACUCUGUUGGUAGAGAAGAACGUUGGUGGGAGUGGAAAGCUCAUCAAGUGACGGUAACUACCCAGAAAGGGACGGCUAACUACGUG